rnacentral:rRNA from 1 species
UACGUAGGGUGCGAGCGUUGUCCGGAAUUAUUGGGCGUAAAGAGCUCGUAGGCGGUCUGUCGCGUCUGCCGUGAAAGUCCGGGGCUCAACUCCGGAAUUGCAGUGGGUACGGGCAGACUAGAGUGUUGUAGGGGAGACUGGAAUUCCUGGUGUAGCGGUGAAAUGCGCAGAUAUCAGGAGGAACACCGAUGGCGAAGGCAGGUCUCUGGGCAAUUACUGACGCUGAGGAGCGAAAGCAUGGGGAGCGAACAGG